CAGUGUCCUACUGGCGUCUCAGUCGUGCUCACGUCGUGGUUGAUAGCUCAGUGUGGGAGGAAGGAAAAAACUCAGUCAACCAUCAGAAGUAUUGAUUGUUUAGAUAAAGAGAUCCAUCAUUUAGAAAACGAAAACAAUCAUUUAGAAAACGAGAACUACCCAUGGAAGAACCACAGUAAGAUAACGUGUGCAGCCUCAUUAACGGCAGACUGUCACUGAGGUAAUACAAGUACGCAAAGCCUCGCCGUAGAGAACCUCUGGCAGAGCCUUCGAGAAAUCCACGCCUCGCCUUGUACAUGACUCCAUCAUCAAACAGGUGAUUGUCUCACUGUUCGGACCCCAGUAUAGAACAGCUGUCCCGGCCCCGUAGAACAACUGCCCAGAACCCACUGUAAACCUCUGUAUGGUUCAAACCAUGAAUCAGGAUUGGAAUUCCAGCGACGCCCGAGGAUCUGGAAGGUUGUUUGGACCUUCCUUAAGUGUUACAUCACAAGACUUUAGUGUUGCUAAUGAUGGUCAAAGGUUAUAGUUUAAAUGUACGCAAGAUUACAAGUAAAAUCCAGAAUAUUGCCUUAUCUACUCCCGUAAACCGAGGUUAUUAAUGUAACUUUUUUCUAGGCGAAACUGUCACUGUGUCCGGGUACAAACUGUAAGUGAGUAAUAAGUUGACUGUGACGAAUCAUAAAAAGAUAGGAUGUAAGUAUCUGACACUCAUAGUGUAACCUAAGUCGUUGGCCACAGCCCUCGACCGCAGAUGCCAGAGGAAUGGCUACAGAGACUAACCUUCACUCCCUCCUGUUUCUGUUACUCCUGGUGGCGGGACUGUCUUAUAUGGCGUACUUGGUGCUCCUGCUGACAGAGGACCGUUGGACCGGGUGGGUGCUGCUCUACCCCUUUGCCUUCGUCGCCUUCAUGGUGCUGGGCAUCUGCUGCAUCAAUACCUGGGAACAGAAAUUUCCGUACAGUGAUGACGCUGCCGAGCAAGGGGUGAAACUCCUACAGGAAGUCUGACGAAAACAGGUGAUACACAGAGGUGGGUGAGGAAGGAACUGAUUCACACAAGGAGAUAAUAAGAAACGCUCGCAUGACGUGUGAAGACCGCUGGCAGGAAAGUAGCACAACGCAACUGAAGAGGAGGUUGAACGACAGACGAGACGCAACCAGGCAUAACCAUGUUCUCGUUUGUUUACUGCAAUACAACUUGUGAGAAAUCAGUGAUCGUUUAGUGGAGGGGAGUGUUAGUUUACGAGAGUGAAGUUAGAAGGACAGUUUUAAAGUGGACUGAUGAAAGACGACGAAUUGAUGAUCUAACACGAUGACUCAAAAUUUGUAGAGGGUUUUCUGCAGGGAGAUCAGAGUCAUAAGUUAUUGUGAAUAGAGUUUAGGGCGACCCGGCGACACACUACCGGAAAACAAUGUAAAAUUAAGUUUGCCUGGGUCAGCAUAUCCUGCUUUCUGGAGACAGUUAAGAGGAAAAUUAAUGGUCUGAAAUACUACAAAACUGUGUUUUGUUUUUUCUACAACC